UUUCUCUCUUUUUCCAUCAAACUCGAAUAAUCGUUUUGCUCGUCGAUGCAAUGGAAUGUUUAUCUGUUGGAGGUGGGAAUAGGGUUAUGAAUUUUCAAGGUUUAACAAACGUGUAAUUAUAUUUAUCGAGAAUGAGGCAAAGUGUAAAAUUGAAAAGAGAUGUAAAGUAAAAUUGUAAGAUUAUUCGAAAACUCGACAUUUCCCUCCCGAUAUACGAAAUAAAAUAUAAUUGUAAAAUUCGUGUAAGUUUGUCUGUGACCAAUUUACGAAUGUGUGAUAAAAUAAAAGAGUACGUUUUAUUCGAUGUGAAAUAAUCAUUUAAUAUUCACGGAUAUCAAAGUUAAGAUUGUUCCACAGACGUUUGUAUGAAAUUGAUCCAUGUUAUCAGAUAAUUAAAACAUACCAUGACUAUCUUGAUAUGAAAACUGUUUAUAUUUGAACCGAUAACUCGAUUCGAGUACAUGUACUUGAAUACUGUAUCUCGAAGGAGAGGCAUUUUUGUCCAAUUUGUAACACAAAGAUUUAUCUUACUCUCUCGGAUUAAACACAAGAGAUAGAGUUCAAGUACCCUCGCUCGACGAUCAGGAAUAAAGUUCAACAUCUAAAUUAGUCAGUUCCGUGAUAGAUGCACCGAAGAAAGUAUACCUAGCCGGCAAUCUGAAGCGGGAAAAAGAGAGGACGAUUGCGCGAUACUUGGAGAGCUUCCUUUCUCAAAUUCGAGAUAGCCAGGCCGGAUCUUCAAAGCAGGAUGAUCCUGGAAAAGAAAGCGACGCAACAAAGGAAAAUACAGCGGUGAAGGAAUCAUCGAAGAAAGAAGCUACAGGCAUAAAAAUCGCACAAUCGAAUAAACUACGAAACGUAGAUAAUACCGUAAUUAAAUUAACAACUUUUGAUUAUCCUGGAACUUCGAAAUCGCAUCAACCUGCCAAGAAACCAAGCUCGAAGCCUGGACACAGUAAAGUGAAGACCACCCAGAGCAAAGCAACACAAAUGCGUGAAAAUUUAAGUACGCAAAGGCUACAAGCUAACGAGGAAAUCGAUGAUGAUUCUUCUUUGGAUGCAGAGGAUACCCAAGCAAGGCCCAAAUACAUUUUAGUCGGAUGGGACAAAUUUCGUUCCAAGCUCAUGCUGAUACUACUGAUCCUCUUUAUUUUAUGGGCAGUCAUCUAUUUUCCCAUAAUUCUAAAUAUUUAACGGCAAAAAAUAAUAUUCCCUCUUCUUAUAAGCGAUAAGUACGAUAUUCAGUGAAUUUUAAUAUGGAUAUAUACAUACAUACAUAUAUAUAUAUAUAUAUAAAGUAAGUUUCCAAAGUUUCUUAGUAAGAAAUGAACAACUCUAGUUUGUAUUAAAAUUAUAUCUCGAGAAUGUUAUCUGUUCGUGGGCAAAUAGAACGUUUUCUUAAAUGUCAAUCAAACUAUGAACUAGUUUGCCACGGUAUCAUGGUUGUGGUAAAACUUCAACGUGUAAAUAUGUAAAUAUAUUUUUCAAGAAUAAAAUAUAAUUCCUUCU